AAUAAAUUAAAAGAAGGAAGAAACUAAAUUAAGUGAAAGAGAGAGGAAAAUCGAGAUUUAUCAUGUCAAAUAUUUAUACUCAAUAGCUGUGAUAAAAUUAUACGUGAUGGCUAUUUUAUAACUUGUUUUCUACGAACAUGUAAUCAACGCAUAAUAAUGAUAAAUAGAUACGCACAUUUUUUUCUAUUUUUCCCAUAAUAAAUCUUGUUUUUUCGCGGAUGAGAUAGGAUAAAAAUAUUAAUUUUUGUAUUAUUUUUGUGUGACUUUCAGGGCUGUCACGGAUCCAAGGGAUGGCAGGAGAGUAGCCUUAAAAAAACUGCCGAACGUCUUUCAAAGUCUCGUAAGCAGCAAGCGAGUCUUCAGGGAACUGAAAAUGCUUUGCUUCUUCAAACACGAUAACGUACUUUCCGCGCUGGACAUCCUUCAGCCGCCGCAUCUGGACUUCUUCCAAGAGAUAUAUGUGAUCACCGAGCUGCUUCAGAGCGACCUGCAUAAGAUCAUCGUGAGCCCACAGCAUCUCAGCCCGGACCACAUCAAGGUCUUCCUUUAUCAGAUCCUGCGAGGCCUCAAGUAUCUUCACUCGGCCCGAAUUCUUCACAGGGAUAUCAAGCCCGGGAAUCUCCUAGUGAACAGCAAUUGCGUACUAAAAAUCUGUGAUUUCGGAUUGGCGCGGGUGGCGGAGCCUGAUCAGAACGUGCACAUGACCCAGGAAGUGGUGACACAGUAUUAUCGCGCGCCGGAAAUCCUGAUGGGCGCGCGGCACUACACCGCCGCGGUGGACGUGUGGAGCGUCGGCUGCAUCUUCGGCGAGCUGCUACGCCGGCGGAUCCUCUUCCAGGCCCAGAGCCCCGUGCAACAGCUCGAGUUAAUCACGGAACUGCUGGGUUCGCCUACUCUUGAGGAGAUGAGGUAUGCAUGCGAGGGCGCGAAGUCUCAUAUGCUGAGAAGGGCGCAGAAGCCGCCGUCGCUCGCGACUCUGUAUAAUCUCAGCAGCCAGGCGACGCACGAGGCCGUCCAUUUGCUUUGCCAGAUGCUAGUCUUUGAUCCCGAUAAGAGGAUCACCGUGGUGGACGCCCUGGCGCAUCCUUACCUGGACGAGGGACGGUUGCGGUAUCAUUCAUGCAUGUGCACGUGCUGUUACACGACGAGCGCAGGCAUGAGACAGUACAGGGUGGAUUUCGAGCCUUCGGCCGCCCAUCCGUUCGACGAUCUCUGGGAGCGAAAGCUCACGAGCGUGCAGCAAGUGAAAGAGGAGAUGCACAAAUUUAUAGCGGAGCAGUUGAACACAACGCGAGUGCCGCUCUGCAUAAAUCCGCAAUCCGCGGCAUUCAAGAGCUUCGCAAGUUAGAGCAAGCCGAUCGCCGAACCAGCGCCCUGCGUCGCGUAUACGUACACGUUACUACUACUACUACUACUACUACUACUACCACUACCGACUCAGCUAUCUACCACUGUCAGCUACUAUCGACUACUACCGCUAUCGUCCACUACUACCACUACCGCUACCACUACUACUACCAAUCGUGUUACGCCUCCUCCUGAACGAACCGAACGAAACGAGAGUCAGCUAUAAGUCGACGCAACCUCGCUCGCAGAGCUCCACGGUGGCUCAUCCCUCGGAAUUGCCACCCUCUCCACACCAGUGGGAAUAAAAAGUCUUCCCCGUUCCUGUCCCCAAGAUAGAGACUAUUGGACCCGAGGGUGACGACUUCGCGUCGCGCUCCGAGAAGAAAGGACAAUCUUUCGACUGGAAGAUAGUAAGUCGUCGAUAACAAGAAGAAAGAAGAAGGCGAGGAGGAGGAAGGAAGACGGGGGACUGGAAACUAUGGAGAGAAGAGCCAAGAGAGACAAUAGACUGCCGCACAUUGUAGCCUCAAUUUUCGACUAGCCGAUACAUAUACAUGCGCGAGAUAUCGCAUGGCGAUGCGUAGAAAAAUGCCGGGGAAAUUUUGACGCAGAAAUUUGGAAUUUUCAUUAUUUAUUUCUUUCUGAGAAAAUUGGAAAUUAUUUUAUUUUAUCCUAGAAGUGGAAUUUCUUCCGAAAAUUUGAAAGUAUUUUAAAUAAAUAAAUAAAUUCUCAAUUUUUUUCGCAAGAAUUCUACGAGGAAAGAAUUGAUUUUUCUCCAUUUCUAUUCUGAGGUUGUAUUCUUCGAAAGACAGUUGCAAAUUCUUUCGAUUUUUCCUUAGGGAAAUACACUUCGAGAAAAAGACUUUAUUUUUUUUUUUUUUUUAGACGUACAUUUAAAUAAUAACAAUGUAAAUCUUUUUUCGGUUUUUUUUUCUGGAACACAAUUAACUGAAUUAUUAUUCAGCAAUGAAAUGGAAAUACAAGUACAUGACGAUAUUCUGUUUAACAGUAUUUGAAUUAUGAGAUUCAAUUUAUCUCGAUAGAAAUUUUUUUGACAGAUUAUAGAAUUUUUAUUAAAUUCGUAAUCAAUUAUUAUAAUCAUUAUCAUAAUCAAUUAUCGAUAUCCUCGUAGAAUUUCAGCGAUCCUCAUGGAAUUCAAAGAAAAUUCCAAGAAUUUUAAUAAUCAAUGUCAAGGACUAAGAAAUAAUUAAGAAAGAACAAAGAAAGAGACAGAAUAGUCGCCACAUCCGUCAAACAUUCUUUUAGAGAAAAUUCAUUUAAAAUUCCACAAAAACAUUAUCUCGUCGUUUCUCUGCGCAUUUUACCGCAUCCUGCAUGUAUAUAUAGCAAUAUAUUAUACAUAUACGUUGUAUACACAUGAUAUCAAGGGGAGAGAGACACGUGUAACACACAUACACACACAUACACACACACACACACACACACACACACACACAUAUAUAUACAUAUUAGCCAAUUUAAAACACGAAGUAGCCAAUUUUAAUUCUGAGAAAGAGCAGCGGGAGAUAGGGAGGAUUUCUGGACGAGCGGAAUCAUGAGUACCGUGAGAGCAGAAAAGCGAAAAGGUGGAGGGGGAGUAAUAGUUAAUAGCGUUUAGUAAACACGAGCGUCCAAAAGACGGGCCAGUUCUUUUUUGUUUCUUAGAUUUUACACAUGUGUACAGGUCGCGCGCGAGGUCAGCUGGCAUUUAUAUUGAAUAUGCGCACGCGUGGGAGGAAAGUGCCGGGAAAAGGAAAGCAAGAUCCUUCUCGUCCUGAUAAUCGAGGCUCCUCUGACGUUAGAAAAUAUUUCUGAGAAUGUCAUACUGCGAAUCGAAUCGUCCUCGAAGAGACAUGCCUCGACGAUGUCGUCGCAGUAGCAAGAUUAAUGAUCCGAAUCGAAUAGUCCUUGAUUGGGAUUGCGCGAGGAUGCCUCGAGGAGUGAAAAUAUAACUCUUAAUCAACAGAACAUGUCGCUGCAAAUAGACAUUUGUUCUUGAAAGAAUAUCUCUCGAGGACGUCAUCUUAAUAAUGAUACAAUUAUUGCUCUACGAAUCGAAUAAUCCUCGGCAGAAUAUUACUCGACGAGGAUAUCUUGAGGAGCGAGUAGACAAUUCUCUAAAUCCGGUCGUUCUCGAUGAGAUAUCUCUUAAGGAUAUCGCGCAAGAACAUUCAAUCCUUGGCGAGAUCCUUCAUCGUUACAAAGAUAUUGCGAGUAUGUCUGAAGGUCAGGCGGAAUGUGCGAAGCCCGCUUCAAAUCUAAUUGCCACUGACGAUAUAUUAUUCGAGGAUUUAUAUCGAAGAACGAGAUAUAUUCGUCGAAAUAAGAUGUCGCGCGAUCGAUUCUCUUUCCGACUGGCGGAAACUCGAGAAUGUUUCUUCCUCCGGGAAAACGCGACACGAGAUGUGUACCGUUUACCGAAGCCUCGUGCGAACUAAUCGAUCAUUGCGAGCAUUGAUACUUGAUCGCGACAUCGGCGAAAUUCUCAAAAUCCGCGACAGAUCUGCUACGAAGAGGAACCGAGAGAAAAGAGAAGAGAGAAGAUCGACGAGUCGAAGAAAUCUUCAUCGUCAUCGAUCCUUCUCGAUGAAGUAAUGACAAUCCGGAACUGUUAAAGGGAUUGUAUAGCAAGACGAAUAGCGGCGAACGAUAAUAUAUAACGGGUGGCUAGAUCGUGCAUUCGAUUGGCACUUUUCCUCCCCAAUGUGUCGGCAUUAAUAAGAUAACGAAUUAAUUUCGACCAGCAUUUGCUAGGAAUAAAGACUAGUAAGUCCCUGAUUGAGGCAUUCUUCUUGAAGUGGAGAAUAGACGAAGAAGAAGGAAAAAUAGGUAUAAGUUCGGGUAAAUGCGCGCGACAAUGCGGGAUCAAGGAAAAGUGGGAAAAUUGCGACAGCGAGUUGCAAACGCGAAAGAUUUUGAGAUUAUAAAUUCAUGAAAGAAACGUGUAUAUAUUGUCGUUGACAGGAGAGCUUUUGAGUAUUCUCGUUACUUCCGAAAACUUUAUGUUCGAAAUAAAAAUUCACAUUAGCGAAUUUAGAAAAAGUGCAAAUUAUCUUCGAAGUAAUUUCGAAAUUAAUGACUCGAUCGGCUGCGAAGUCGAGACAAAUUCGAAAGUUGAAGGAUCCCGAAAAGAACUUCCAAAGGAUCGUUAAGUUUGCGCUCUCAAUGAAAAUUAAUUUCGAGAAUGACGAGAGGAUGGAGA